rnacentral:snoRNA from 1 species
ACCCCUUUAAAAGCACUCAGUAGGCCUUUUGCUAGUGACCCACUGAGCCGUCCAGAAGGGACAGAGUAAAAGCAUCACUUUUGGGCGAAGUGGCAACGUGUGUUGUUUGCUGCAGUCAGUGUUGUGACAAGG